rnacentral:rRNA from 1 species
GAUGAACGCUAGCGACAGGCCUAACACAUGCAAGUCGAGGGGCAUCGGGACGUAGCAAUACGUUGCCGGCGACCGGCGGAUGGGUGAGUAACGCGUAUGCAACCUACCCGUAGCAGGGGGAUAGCCCGUUGAAAGACGGAUUAAUACCCCGUAACACAGGGGCUCCGCAUGGAGAUUAUUGUUAAAGGGUCAUUUCUUUUAGAGGUGGUCCGGCUACGGAUGGGCAUGCGUUCCAUUAGGUAGUUGGUGUAGGUAACGGCUCACCAAGCCGACGAUGGAUAGGGGAACUGAGAGGUUGGUCCCCCACACUGGUACUGAGACACGGACCAGACUCCUACGGGAGGCAGCAGUGAGGAAUCUUGGUCAAUGGACGCAAGUCUGAACCAGCCAUGUCGCGUGAAGGAGGACGGCCCUAAGGGUUGUAAACUUCUUUUGCAGCGGAAUAAAGUUUGCCACGAGUUGGCGAUUUGCAAGUACGCUGCGAAUAAGGAUCGGCUAACUCCGUGCCAGCAGCCG